CUGCUCUCUGCCAGGGGUUUUUCUAGUCUCAGCUACAGGGCUUGUCUCUGCCAACUACACUUAGGAUGAGACUUAACUCCUUCAUAUCCAGAUAUCUCUAUACUGUUUAUUCCCCAAUCUCAUUUCAUCACACCAGCAAAUAGAUGUUCAAGAUGGACCACAACAUUUUGAACCUGAAUGCCCUGUUGGUAUAGUGAUGUGACUGAGAAUGCCAUGCUGGUGAGGAGCUGGGUUGGUAGUACUGAUAUCUUGCUUCCCCCCCACCAAAUCUUAGUCACUAGCCUUUGGAUAUGGUGCAAAUCAUUAUAGGAAACCUUCAAGGAAAUUUUGAUCCAGGAAGAAAUACCUGAAGAGAUAAUGAUCAGGUACCUGUUGAAAAAUUUUAUUGCAUGCCCGUAAUAAGAGUAACUCUCUUGUAAUCGUAAAUCACACAUACGCUUAAAUGACAAGGAAAUAAACAGAAUAAGCAUUGGCCCAAGACACAAGAGUAAAAAAAAAAUUCCAAUGGCCAAGAAAAAUAUGCUGUGAGACUGAAUAUAAAUGGAGGUGUUUCCUCUGCUAUUUUAUGUGGGCACCUACAGGAGGAGGGUGAGGAAGAGAUUCUCUGCUCAGGUUUUCAGCGAAUGUGGUUUGAGCUGCUGACAUAUUGGGAUGGGUCAGACAGACACUGGGGCCUCUUCCUGCUAUUUCAGGCAGGACUGGGGACUGUGUAGCACCUGAGGCAAGCAACCUCCAGCUCACAUCCAUGUGAACAAUCCCUACCAUAUGAAGACUGAUGACAGCAGCAGUGAUAGAACAGCACUCACAUAAAAUGGACUCAUGUGAUGUUUGCUUAAACCAGAGAAUCUAUGUACACUUGACAGCAGAAACCAAUUAAAACUUUAUACUAGA